rnacentral:rRNA from 1 species
UUGACCUCGGAUCAGGUAGGGAUACCCGCUGAACUUAAGCAUAUCAAUAAGCGGAGGAAAAGAAACCAACAGGGAUUGCCUCAGUAACGGCGAGUGAAGCGGCAACAGCUCAAAUUUGAAAUCUGGCUCUUUCAGGGUCCGAGUUGUAAUUUGUAGAAGAUGCUUUGAGUGUAGCUCCGGUCUAAGUUCCUUGGAACAGGACGUCAUAGAGGGUGAGAAUCCCGUAUGUGACUGGGUGCUUUCGCUCGUGUAAAGCUCUUUCGACGAGUCGAGUUGUUUGGGAAUGCAGCUCAAAAUGGGUGGUAAAUUUCAUCUAAAGCUAAAUAUUGGCCAGAGACCGAUAGCGCACAAGUAGAGUGAUCGAAAGAUGAAAAGCACUUUGGAAAGAGAGUUAAACAGUACGUGAAAUUGUUGAAAGGGAAGCGCUUGCAACCAGACUUGCGCGCUGUUGAUCAUCCGAGCUUCUGCCCGGUGCACUCGAUAGCGUUCAGGCCAGCAUCGGUUUUGGUGGGCGGAUAAAGGCCUUGGGAAUGUAGCUUCUUUCGGGGAGUGUUAUAGCCCUCGGUGCAAUG